GACGUAGGGGGCCAGCGUUGUUCGGAAUUACUGCGUGUAAAGGGUUCGUAGGCGGUGCGGCAAGUUGGGAGUGAAAUCUCUGGGCUUAACCCAGAGGCUGCUUCCAAAACUGCUGUGCUUGAGUGUGGGAGAGGCGCGUGGAAUUGCAGGUGUAGCGGUGAAAUGCGUAGAUAUCUGCAGGAACACCCGUGGCGAAAGCGGCGCGCUGGACCACUACUGACGCUGAGGAACGAAAGCUAGGGGAGCAAACAGG
rnacentral:rRNA from 1 species